rnacentral:rRNA from 1 species
AUACGGAGGAUGCGAGCGUUAUCCGGAUUUAUUGGGUUUAAAGGGAGCGCAGACAGGUCGUUAAGUCAGCUGUGAAAGUUUGGGGCUCAACCUUAAAAUUGCAGUUGAUACUGGCGUCCUUGAGUGCGGUUGAGGUGUGCGGAAUUCGUGGUGUAGCGGUGAAAUGCUUAGAUAUCACGAAGAACUCCGAUUGCGAAGGCAGCACACUAAGCCGUAACUGACGUUCAUGCUCGAAAGUGUGGGUAUCAAACAGGAUUAGAUACCCUGGUAGUCCACACGGUAAACGAUGGAUACUCGCUGUUGGCGAUAUACGGUCAGCGGCUUAGCGAAAGCGUUAAGUAUCCCACCUGGGGAGUACGCCGGCAACGGUGAAACUCAAAGGAAUUGACGGGGGCCCGCACAAGCGGAGGAACAUGUGGUUUAAUUCGAUGAUACGCGAGGAACCUUACCCGGGCUUAAAUUGCAAAGGAAUAAUCUGGAAACAGGUUAGUCUUCGGACCUUUGUGAAGGUGCUGCAUGGUUGUCGUCAGCUCGUGCCGUGAGGUGUCGGCUUAAGUGCCAUAACGAGCGCAACCCUCGCCGCCAGUUACUAACAGUUAAAGCUGAGGACUCUGGCGGGACUGCCAUCGUAAGAUGUGAGGAAGGUGGGGAUGACGUCAAAUCAGCACGGCCCUUACGUCCGGGGCUACACACGUGUUACAAUGGGCGGUACAGAAGGCAGCUACCUGGCGACAGGAUGCCAAUCCCUAAAGCCGCUCUCAGUUCGGACUGGAGUCUGCAACCCGACUCCACGAAGCUGGAUUCGCUAGUAAUCGCGCAUCAGCCACGGCGCGGUGAAUACGUUCCCGGGCCUUGUACACACCACCCGUCAAGCCAUGAAAGCCGGGGGUACCUGAAGUGCGUAACCGCAAGGAGCCCCCUAGGGUAAAACUGGUAAUUGGGGCU